GUUACCUUCCAUAUACGUGGUGAUGUUUGGUUGGACAUUCUGUGGUGGGCUGAUGUGAUGGGCUUACCAGUUUGUGACUGUCCAGUGCAGUUAAAUGUGUUUGGCUUUUUCUCGUCUGUACUGAGAGCAGGUUCAGGAUGGGGCGGUUUGCUUGGUCUUACAGAAAUAUUUGUCCUUGGCAGCUGAAGCAUCAAGCUCUUGGCUUUUCAUAGUCUGACUUCUUGUUAGCAAUAGUAUUUAAGUGGAAAGAAGUGUAGAAUAAGAUACAGGUGACCCUUUCCUGUGUUUGAUACAAUAGUAGUGUGGUUGGCAUACUGCUGUAUUUAUCCCUUCAGUUUGUGUACAUAAGGUAAAAGGAAGGUUUAACUGGGAAUCACUGGCUGUCAGAGCAGAUACACAGAUCAGAAGCUAAUUCUGAUAUAGCUCCACAAAAUCAACUUAAUUUUUUCUGUGAAGUGGCAAUUGGUGUGGUGUUAGGAUAAAUGUUGGUUCAGAUGGGUUAUUUCUGAUAUGAAUGUACUCUUCAGUGUUAGUGAUUACCAGCUCCUCUUUGCCAAGUGCAGCUUGAGAAUAUUUAUCACAUUAGUUUUUCUCCCCGAGUGCUUUGAUUUCUUCCUUAAAUUCUAGAAGCACUUGAUCCAGACCCAUACUGGCUUGGUCUGGGUCUGUUAGACAGAAUUGAGAUUCUGUACCUCACCUGGGAUAUGCUGGAUUUGCCAUUUUCAUCACUGUAUAGAAGUUAAUGUUUUUCAAUACUGAUAAUGUAUUCAGUAUUUUGGUGUAAAGUCUCUGUGUAUCAACUUUGCAUUCUUAAUGCCCUGUAGGAUUUUCUCAAUGGUGAAGCUGAAAUUCAACUUAAUGAUUGCUACAGAUGUUUUGUUGAAAGUAGUUUGAAAGAAAAUCAGUGUCCCUGCAGAGCUGCUAGAAAGUGUUGACUGUUCCAGUUCUCUUAAUAGUAUUUUCAUGAGAAUAUUUUUAAUUGUUCUAUGACUGGUUAUGACUACUCAGCAUUACAGUGGAACAUUGGAGUCUUAACCAUCACAGUCGUGUAAGGCUACAACAUCCUUUGUGAAAGUGUUCAGAAGACUUACCUUUCUGAAGAAGUAGUUGAAUUACGUGGUUUGUGUCAUGUUUUUGACAUGCACUUUCCUACCAAACAUUGAGCUGGGUGCAAUAAAGCAUCACAGACCAAAGACAAGACCAAACAACAAUAGUCAGCACGGGAAAAAUGAAGGUAUCUUUGAAACAGGCAUUACAUCUUAUCUCAGGAAUGCAGAUCUGUCACUUCCCAGUGCCUGAAUCUGCAUCUUGUCAUCUUCUCUGAAAAGAUAAGUCUUGCCUCCUUUGUAUUCUACCAGAUUUGUCAUGUAAACAAGGAUCUUUUUAUAACUUCAGUCUGCAUUUCAUGGUGUUUGUAGAUGCUGUCCAGGUUGCAAACAGAAGAAAGAGAAUAUCUGAAUGCCAUGGAAAGUGGCUGUUGUCAAGUUAGCCAUUAGCUAGCUGUUGCCCCAAAUGAGUGAUAGUAACAUUUAAGUUAAAAAAAUUACAGAAACACCUUUGUGCAUAUCAAAUUACUGGUUGUGGCAGAUCUGGGAAGUGUGAGUGAUAGCUCCUGUGAAUUAACCUUUGUUGAGCCUUCUUUGUUUGAAACACCAGUGUCAGAGGCUUAAACUGGGAUAAACCCAUGUCUCUUGUACUGCAGAUAUUGAUGAUCCUGGCACAGAGAACUGCUGCUACUAGCACUUUUUAUAUGUGUUUUGGGUAGCUGUUGUUUAGCUGGGAUUAGAUGCAGAUGUCCUAAAAAUAUCUCUUGCUUGGAAGGAGGUGUGGAGAAGGUUAGUGAAGAAGAGUUGAACUGAUUGUUUUGGUAUUCUGCUUAAAAAUACAUUUUUUCUUUUCAGAUGGUCAGGCUCCAGGUGAUUCAUGCUUCAGGGUUCUUUACCCAUAAGAAACACAAGACAAAUCCCGUGUUCAGCUUAGUAGAGUCCCUCAAAGCACAUUUAGGGAAGAGGAUACAGAAGGGAGAGUAAUAGUAAUUUCCUGAAGUACUAUUCCACUUCUUAAAUGGGGCCUCUUCAAAAUGCUUCCUAUUUACAUAAUUACAGUGCUUUGAGGUCUCUUAUGGUUUAAAAACAUUCUUCUAGCUUGACUCAUUCAAGUUCUCUUGCAAUUUUUAUGAGAAAUUAGAUGAUUUUCCUUCGGAUUUAGAAUCUCUAGAGCAUAUCUAUUUGUUCUGAACCCUGAGUAUGAGAGAGUAAAUGAAUACCCAGAAUUGCACAUUCUGUUACAGCUGGAAAUCUUCAGUUUUAGCUCUGUGUUCUUACAAGGCGACUGUUGCAGUAUAAACUCUCUGAAAGCUUUUCUUGAGCUCCAAAUGAAUAAUAAAGCACAUUUCCAAAGCUGUGAUCAAAUACUUUAUGAAAUAUUAAGCUGCAUGUGUACCUUCAUUGUUUUACCAACUGUUAAAUUUGGUUACA